rnacentral:rRNA from 1 species
UACGGAAGGGGCAAGCGUUGUUCGGAAUUAUUGGGCGUAAAGGGCGCGUAGGCGGCUUGGUAAGUCAAAGGUGAAAUCCCUCGGCUCAACUGAGGAAUUGCCUUUGAAACUGCCAGGCUUGAGGCCGGGAGGGGGUAGCGGAAUUCCCAGUGUAGCGGUGAAAUGCGUAGAUACUGGGAGGAACACCAGUGGCGAAGGCGGCUACCUGGACCGGAACUGACGCUGAUGCGCGAAAGCGUGGGGAGCAAACAGG